rnacentral:rRNA from 1 species
GCGUGCGGGAAGAAGGCCUUCGGGUUGUAAACCGCUUUCGGACGGAAAGAAAUCGCAUGGGUUAAUACCCUGUGUGGAUGACGGUACCGUAAGAAGAAGCACCGGCUAACUACGUGCCAGCAGCCGCGGUAAUACGUAGGGUGCGAGCGUUAAUCGGAAUUACUGGGCGUAAAGCGUGCGCAGGCGGUUUCUUAAGCCAGACGUGAAAUCCCCGGGCUUAACCUGGGAACUGCGUUUGGAACUGGGAGACUAGAGUGUGUCAGAGGGAGGUGGAAUUCCGCGUGUAGCAGUGAAAUGCGU